CAGCCGCCGCGGGAAUACGAAGGGUGCAAGCGUUAAUCGGAAUUACUGGGCGUAAAGCGUGCGUAGGCGGUUUGUUAAGUCUGUUGUGAAAUCCCCGGGCUCAACCUGGGAAUGGCAAUGGAUACUGGCAAGCUAGAGUGUGUCAGAGGAUGGUGGAAUUCCCGGCGUAGCGGUGAAAUGCGUAGAGAUCGGGAGGAACAUCAGUGGCGAAGGCGGCCAUCUGGGACAACACUGACGCUGAGGCACGAAAGCGUGGGGAGCAAACAGGAUUAGAUACCCGCGUAGUCCCUGUCUCUUAUAC
rnacentral:rRNA from 1 species